rnacentral:rRNA from 1 species
GACGAACGCUGGCGGCGUGCCUAAUACAUGCAAGUCGAGCGCAGGAAGCCGUCUGAACCCUUCGGGGGGACGACGGUGGAAUGAGCGGCGGACGGGUGAGUAACACGUAAAGAACCUGCCCAUAGGUCUGGGAUAACCACGAGAAAUCGGGGCUAAUACCGGAUGUGUCAUCGGACCGCAUGGUCCGAUGAUGAAAGGCGCUUCGGCGUCGCCCACGGAUGGCUUUGCGGUGCAUUAGCUAGUUGGUGGGGUAACGGCCCACCAAGGCGACGAUGCAUAGCCGACCUGAGAGGGUGAUCGGCCACACUGGGACUGAGACACGGCCCAGACUCCUACGGGAGGCAGCAGUAGGGAAUCUUCCACAAUGGACGAAAGUCUGAUGGAGCAACGCCGCGUGAACGAUGAAGGCUUUCGGGUCGUAAAGUUCUGUUGUAAGGGAAGAACAAGUGCCGCAGGCAAUGGCGGCACCUUGACGGUACCUUGCGAGAAAGCCACGGCUAACUACGUGCCAGCCGCCGCAGUAAAAC